ensembl:lncRNA
AACAAAAGAAAAAUAACAACAACAAAAAAAAGAUACUCUGAAUAACAGAUUGCUACAUUGGAAAGGCAAACUUCCUUACUGAUGAUAUGCUAAAUGACAUCAAUUUCUACAGUACCUGCUGAAAACAAAAACAAAAACAAACAAACAAAAAACAACAACCAAUAAUUAUAUAAAAAAAAAUAAUUGCUGCUGUCCAUCCUGUCUUUCAUGGGAGUUAGAUUCUUUUUUCUCCUGGAGCCUCAGGAAAGUUUCGCUGUUCAUCCAUGCCAAUCUUCUUCCCCGCCAUUUCAUCCUACAACACAG